UUGCUUCAGCAGCACAUAUACUAAAAUUGAAACAAUAAAGAGAAGAUUAGCACGGCCCCUGCAAAUUCAUGAAGCAUUCCAUUAAAGAAAAGAACGAAAUUAAA
rnacentral:snRNA from 1 species